AUAGAACUUCAUAACAAUGCAUAUCUUGCCAAUUAUAAUUGAAAUUCCAUAAAGAAAACACACACCUUCUAUCCCUCUACACUUCAAAAAUAAAUCAUCAAACUUAUCCAACAGAACCUUCACAUGAUCCUCCUUCACUGGAUUUAACAUCUUGACAGCCACUUCAUGGUACUCAUCAUAAUUAUCAGUUGAAUGAUAAUGAGUGGCUAACCAGACAUCACCAAAAGGAC
rnacentral:misc_RNA from 1 species